rnacentral:tRNA from 10 species
AGGGCUAUAGCUCAGCAAGGUAGAGCACCUCGUUUACACUUUCACCGAGAAGGUCUACGGUUCGAGCCCGUAUAGCCCUA